rnacentral:rRNA from 1 species
ACGGUCCUAAGGUAGCGAAAUUCCUUGUCGGGUAAGUUCCGACCUGCACGAAUGGUGUAACCAUGGCCAUGCUGUCUCCACCCGAGACUCAGUGAAAUCGAAUUCGCCGUGAAGAUGCGGUGUACCCGCGGCUAGACGGAAAGACCCCGUGAACCUUUACUACAGCUUGGCACUGAACAUUGAACCUACAUGUGUAGGAUAGGUGGGAGGCUUUGAAGGCGUGACGCCAGUUGCGCUGGAGCCGUCCUUGAAAUACCACCCUUGUAUGUUUGAUGUUCUAACGCAGGGCCCUGAAUCGGGCUCGCGGACAGUGCCUGGUGGGUAGUUUGACUGGGGCGGUCUCCUCCCAAAGAGUAACGGAGGAGCACG